GAUGAACGCUAGCUACAGGCUUAACACAUGCAAGUCGAGGGGCAGCGCAGUGUAGCAAUACAUGGGCGGCGACCGGCGCACGGGUGCGUAACGCGUAUCCAACCUUCCCGUUACUCAGGGAUAGCCUUCCGAAAGGGAGAUUAAUACCUGAUGGUGUUCAAAUUCCGCAUGUUAUUUGAACUAAAGAUUUAUCGGUAACGGAUGGGGAUGCGUGACAUUAGAUAGUAGGCGGGGUAACGGCCCACCUAGUCUACGAUGUCUAGGGGUUCUGAGAGGAAGGUCCCCCACACUGGAACUGAGACACGGUCCAGACUCCUACGGGAGGCAGCAGUGAGGAAUAUUGGUCAAUGGUCGGAAGACUGAACCAGCCAAGUAGCGUGAAGGAUGAAGGUUUUAUGGAUUGUAAAACUUCUUUUUAUACGGGAAUAAAACCUCCCACGUGUGGGAGCUUGAUGUACCGUAUGAAUAAGCAUCGGCUAACUCCGUGCCAGCAGCCGC
rnacentral:rRNA from 1 species